rnacentral:lncRNA from 1 species
UGACACAGUGAUUCUGCCGUGCUUCACUGAUCCUCAAACCAAUGUCAUUAGAGUGGAGUGGAUGGUAAAUGGGACAACUGAGGUCCAUGUGCACAGACAAGGAGAAGAUUAUCUUGAUUACCAAGCAAAUAUCUACAAUGGAAAAACAUCUGUUUUUAAACAGCAACUACCAAAAGGGAACUCUUCACUGCAACUGGUGGUUUCUCAGUCUCAUUUCGGGACAUACAGUUGCUCUGUACUUACAUCAAAGAAAACAGAAGACAGUUGUGAUAUAAAUCUCAAGCCAGUCAGUGGAAAAGGACCAAGCCCAUCUCCGAACAGUACCAUCGCUGGCUUUCAACGUUCUCAUAUAAUAGGUAUUGGGGUUACUGUUCUCGUCGGUUUUGUUCUUGCUGUCCUUGCUGGUGUCUGGUUUUGCCGGAAUUAAAAGAAGAAAGAAACAAGU